rnacentral:rRNA from 1 species
CGGCGACGAGUUUUGAGUCCUGGCUCAGGAUGAACGCUGGCGGCGUUGCUUUAACACAUGCAAGUCAACGGGGUGCCUAUGAUUGAGACUUCGGUUGAUUGAUUAGGUUACCUAGUGGCGACGGGUGAGUAACGCGUGAGCAACCUGCCUUUGUGAGGGGAAUAACGAUUGGAAACGGUCGCUAAUACCGCAUAAUGUAUCGAGGGGACAUCCCCAUGAUACCAAAGAUUUAUCGCCUAAGGAUGGACUCGCGUCUGAUUAGAUAGUUGGUGAGGUAACGGCUCACCAAGUCGACGAUCAGUAGCCGAACUGAGAGGUUGAUCGGCCACAUUGGGACUGAGACACGGCCCAGACUCCUACGGGAGGCAGCAGUGGGGAAUAUUGCGCAAUGGGGGAAACCCUGACGCAGCAACGCCGCGUGAAGGAUGAAGGUCUUCGGAUUGUAAACUUUUGUCUUAUGGGACGAAAAAGGACGGUACCAUAGGAGGAAGCCACGGCUAACUACGUG